rnacentral:sRNA from 1 species
UGCAGCGCAGCUCUGGAGACCUUGCACCCUCUUAUGGGAGGCAGCACGACAGUAAACAAAGCUCGCCGCGUGCAAGUUGGCUUAGAUGUCAGCAACACAAUCGAAUUGACGGGGACCUCCUAAAGCCUGCAACACCAACCGUCCGGGGAAACUCGGGCGGGGCCCUCACGGGGUGGUAAGAGAGUGCAGGAUGCUACAAUGGACGAUCCGCAGCGAAGACCCUACCGGCUAUUAAGCCCACGGGUGCCGUUCACAGACUAAGUGAUUGUGGGCGGGGCUUUCAUGUCCCGUCUAAGAUAUAGUCGGCCUCUAUGUGAAAGCCUAGAGAAGCGCGUCCGUAGGUGAACCUGCGGAAGGAUCAUUAAAGAACGCCCUGUUUUUUGAAAUGGGUAAUUCCCAAACCGUGUUUACAUUACCUUUGUUGCUUUGGCAGGCCGCCUUCUAGGCGUCGGCUCCGGCUGACUGCGCCUGCCAGAGGACCCAAACUCGUUUGUUUAGUGUCGUCUGAGUACUUAUACAAUAGUUAAAACUUUCAACAACGGAUCUCUUGGUUCUGGCAUCGAUGAAGAACGCAGCGAAAUGCGAUAAGUAAUGUGAAUUGCAGAAUUCAGUGAAUCAUCGAAUCUUUGAACGCACAUUGCGCCCCUUGGUAUUCCGAGGGGCAUGCCUGUUCGAGCGUCAUUAUAACCACUCAAGCCCUGGCUUGGUAUUGGGGUUCGCGGUUCCGCGGCCCUUAAAAUCAGUGGCAGUGCCGUCUGGCUCUAAGCGUAGUAAUUCUCUCGCUACAGGGUUUAGGCGGUUGCUUGUCAGAACCCCCCCAUAUUACAGGUUGACCUCGGAUCAGGUAGGGAUACCCGCU